UUGAUUUUCUGGGUUGUAGGAUGGUUGUUUGCCUUUGCAGAACUUACCCGUCAAUGAAAACUCUCUAUGCCGGUGGCGCGCAUUACUAUGCGAAUAGCGUAACUUGACAAGACAAAGACGACGAAUCUAAUUUUAUGGCCUAUGUCAUGGACUGAGCUGAAUAAACUGUCGGUCGUACACUCUCCGCUUUUGCCAUGGACAAUUCUCAUUCAACUCCAGGAUGUUUUUAUGGUCAAGUGCUGUGUUGGCCUCGCAAUGAUAGACUGCCUAGCAUGAACGUAUAGGGCCACGUAGAGUGCUUAUCGGAUAGUCUUUGCCUUGUUGGCCAUUGUCGAUAAUUAUUGAUUCCAUCUAACAUAACUACUUAAUUUGAUCAGCACGCAAUUUAUCGCAUUCCCUGUUAUUAUAUACGUUAAAUCAAAACUGAAAGUUGAUUAUAAGAAAAUUAUCGGUCUUAAUUCUACUCUUGAUUUUGGUGGCAGUGAUUUAUUGUUUCGAUUUUAAGUAUAUGAUUAGUGCCCGCCAGUGUUAUCGAAACUAAUCCGGGUUCAUUCAUUUGGCUGGUACUCAGGUGAGAAUUCACAACAUUCCGAAGAAUUGUAUGAUUUUGGCCUCUAUGUUCUAAAAUUUUUAACUAGUAUGGGGGACACAAACACCCAAUUUGGUGUUAAGGGAAUUUGAAGGUGCUGAAAAGUUGCAAAUUCCUUUCAUGACCAGGAAGGAUAGCAUGAACAAAAAGGAGAAAGUCAACUUUUGGGCUUGAUCAAACAUUUUAAGAUUUGAUUAGCAAAGGACUUUGAUUGGAAUUCUUAAAGGAACUUGAAUUUGAGAGUCGAGAUUUUAUUUUUAUUUUUUUUCUUUUUGAAAUUUCUUAGUCACUUAAUAAUUUUAGCUCAGCAAAGCUCGUGUAUCUCUUACUACAAUGUGUUGGAAAGCCUAUAGGUUUGAUGAAUUGACAUGAAACAUACUUCAGUGUUUUAGCAAUAUCUUGAUAAAUUUCACUUAAGGAAUGGGAAGAGGGCAGCCAAAUCAGCUAUUCCAGAAUAUUCCAAAAUGGGUGAAAGAGAUAGGGGAAGUGUCUAUAAAAUGUGAUGUAGGGAAAUGGGAGAGGGGACAUUGUUUGAGUGAAGUCAGUUAGGAUAGGAGAGAAUUCCAGGCUUCUCGAAUUGCCUGGAGCUGUUAUCCCUGUUAUUCAGUUCAGUAAACUUGUUAACAUUUUCUCAAUUACAAAUCUGCAUUCCAGUACCAAUCAAUCUGGUCUUGAGCUUCUACUUCUCUGUCUUUGGCAGAUCCUUUAUCAUCCAUUAAAGUGUUACAGAUUAGAAGAAGCAGGGGACCCUAUCAUAUCUUCUCUUUUGACCUCCGGUACUUAACUGAUUAUUAAAUUAUUUGGCAGUGGCAAGACCAUGUGCAGGUAAAUUCUGUACACUGGAAG